CCCGCCUAGCCGCCCGCCUAGGCCCAUUUUUUAGAGUAUAAAGCACAAGAUGCCGAGGAUAGACUAGAAACGGUUGCCUCUCAGGCUCAAAAGAUGGCUGACAUUGUUACAGAACAAUGGAUUCAAAUUCAGCGGCUUGAGCAGGCUCUUCAUAUUACACAAAACCAAAGGCUCCUCUUGGUUAGCAGAAUUCAAAGGAAUAUGGUUCCAGUGACCAUCUAGUAGAUGCAACUUUGCC